CAUGCUGCUGUUCAGCUCACUUGGCAUGCUUUAUGGAAAACCACAAUAUCAUUAUUUUGUAAUUUUCACAUAAACACUAAUGAAUAAUUAAUACUAAAUUAUUUGCAAUUGGAGGAUGCAUUGGAAAUUUUGUAAAGAUUUUACUAUGAAAUUGAGUCAGUUCAUAUUGCUUGUCACUCUUUUCUCUAGGCAACCACCAUAAAGUUUUUUUGUUCUAUUACUCCUCAAAUGUUUGACUCUGAGCCAGUAAUGGACUCUGGUCUAGUGGUAAUGCCUGGAUACACUGAAAUACCUGCCAACACUAGAAAAAGUACUAUUAGUAAAAGAAAAUGAGAAAUUUGUAGCCCAAGCGUAAGAAUAAUGAUGCUUUUCUUUCAUCCCUCUCUUCAUUCUGUCUCUUAAUUUCUCUUUUAGGUUCCAUUACCUCCUAUCCCUGUUGAAGAAGAGGCAAAAAUCAGUAUGCUGAUAUGGGCAACAUAAGAAAAAACAAAGUGAAUAAUAACUAUUGAAUUUAUUAGUAUACAAUGUACU